UACGUAGGGGGCUAGCGUUGUCCGGAAUCAUUGGGCGUAAAGAGCGUGUAGGCGGCCCGGUAAGUCCGCUGUGAAAGUCGGGGGCUCAACCCUCGAAUGCCGGUGGAUACUGUCGGGCUAGAGUGCGGAAGAGGCGAGUGGAAUUCCUGGUGUAGCGGUGAAAUGCGCAGAUAUCAGAAGGAACACCAAUUGCGAAGGCAGCUCGCUGGGACGUAACUGACGCUGAGACGCGAAAGCGUGGGGAGCAAACAGG
rnacentral:rRNA from 1 species